GCCCAGGUGGUGAAAUUGGUAGACACGCUACUUUGAGGGGGUAGUUCUGCAAGGAGUACGAGUUCAAGUCUCGUCCUGGGCACCA
rnacentral:tRNA from 4 species